rnacentral:rRNA from 1 species
UACGUAGGUGGCAAGCGUUACUCGGAAUCACUAGGCGUAAAGCGCAGGUAGGCGGUUUGAUAAGUCUGUUGUGAAAGCUCCCGGCUUAACUGGGAGAGGUCAACGGAAACUAUCAGGCUAGAGUGUGGUAGAGGUAGCUGGAAUUCCCGGUGUAGAGGUGAAAUUCGUAGAUAUCGGGAGGAACACCAGUGGCGAAGGCGGCUCUCUGGGCAGAGUACUGACGCUGAGACGCGAAAGCGUGGGUAGCAACAGG